GCAUUCUUUACUGUGUCCUUGGGAUACUAGGAGGAACCAGAGGAGCAGAUCCUGCUAGGAGGCUAAGCAUGAAGAAGGAAUUCAAAGAAACCUUGUGGAGAACGAAGACACAGCAGGGAUGCUGUUCACUGUAUCUACAAUAUGGAAUCAACAUAAAUGUCAAUCGAUGGAUGAAUGGAUAUAAAAAACUUGGUAUAUAUGCGCAAUGGAGUAUUCAGCUCUUGAAAGAAUGAAAUCCUGCCAUUUGCAGCAACUGGAAUGAAACUGGAGGUCAUUAAGUUAAGUGAAGUAACUCAAGCACAGAAAGACAAAUAUUGCAUGUUCUCACUCAUAUAUGGGAGCCACAAAAGUAGAUCUCAUGAAAAUAGAGGGCAGAUUGCUGGUUACCAGAGUCUGGGAAGGUCUCAGGGGUGAUGAACAGAGGUUGAUUAAUAGGUACAAAAAUACAGUUUGAUAGAAGAUAUAAGACCUAGUGUUUGAUAUAUGAGUAGGAUUACUAUAGUUUACAAUUAUCUAUUGUAUAUUUCAAAAUAAUUAGAGAAAAGAUAAUUUGAAUGUAGCAUGAACAAAAUACAAAUAUUUAAGUCAUUGCAUAUCCCAGUUAUACUGAUCUUACAGAUUAUAUGAAUGUAUUAAAUAAUUACAUAUACCCCCAAAAUGUGUGUAUCUAUUAUGCAUCAAUAAAAAAUAAAACUAUAAAAAACAGU
rnacentral:lncRNA from 1 species